rnacentral:rRNA from 1 species
CACCUAGUCUAUGCCACAUCCUCAAGGAACUUCAGCAGUGACCAAUUUUGAAAAUACGCGUCAGCGAGAUUCAGUUAAAGUACAGAGAGCCGGCAAAAUUGGUGCCAGCCGCCGCGGUUAUACCAAUAGACUCAAAUUGAUUGUAUCGGCGUAAAGCGUGAUUAAAGGUUUCCCCCAUUAAAAUAGAACCCUCACUAAGCCGUGACACGCUUGUGCCUGAGAAAAUCAAAAACGUAAGUUAUUUUAAUUUUUCCCCCCCCCCCUUGAAUUCACGACAGUUAAGACACAAACUGGGAUUAGAUACCCCACUAUGCCUAACCGUAAACUUUAAAUUACAAUAUAAACGCCAGAGAACUACGAGCAAAGCUUAAAACUCAAAGGACUUGACGGUACCCCACAUCCACCUAGAGGAGCCUGUCCUAUAAUCGAUAACCCCCGCUUUACCUCACCAUUUUUAGUCGUCAGCCUGUAUACCUCCGUCGUCAGCUUACCACGUGAGCGACCCACAGUGAGCCUAAUGUCUACACGUCAACACGUCAGGUCAAGGUGCAGCUAACAAAAUGUGGAAGAGAUGGGCUACACUCUCUAAUUUAGAAAACACGAAAAACUUUAUGAAAUCUAGUUAGAAGGCGGAUUUAGCAGUAAAAAGAAACUAGAGAGUUCUUUUUAAUUUGGCACUGGGGUGUGUACACACCGCCCGUCACCCUCUUCAAAAUCUCAUUUAAUAGUAUUUAACUACUUCUCACUACAAGAAG